GACGAACGCUGGCGGCGUGCUUAACACAUGCAAGUCGAACGGAAAGGCCCUGCUUUUGUGGGGUGCUCGAGUGGCGAACGGGUGAGUAACACGUGAGUAACCUGCCCUUGACUUUGGGAUAACUUCAGGAAACUGGGGCUAAUACCGGAUAGGAGCUCCUGCUGCAUGGUGGGGGUUGGAAAGUUUCGGCGGUUGGGGAUGGACUCGCGGCUUAUCAGCUUGUUGGUGGGGUAGUGGCUUACCAAGGCUUUGACGGGUAGCCGGCCUGAGAGGGUGACCGGCCACAUUGGGACUGAGAUACGGCCCAGACUCCUACGGGAGGCAGCAGUGGGGAAUAUUGCACAAUGGGCGGAAGCCUGAUGCAGCAACGCCGCGUGCGGGAUGACGGCCUUCGGGUUGUAAACCGCUUUCGCCUGUGACGAAGCGUGAGUGACGGUAAUGGGUAAAGAAGCACCGGCUAACUACGUGCCAGCAGCCGCGGUGAUACGUAGGGUGCGAGCGUUGUCCGGAUUUAUUGGGCGUAAAGGGCUCGUAGGUGGUUGAUCGCGUCGGAAGUGUAAUCUUGGGGCUUAACCCUGAGCGUGCUUUCGAUACGGGUUGACUUGAGGAAGGUAGGGGAGAAUGGAAUUCCUGGUGGAGCGGUGGAAUGCGCAGAUAUCAGGAGGAACACCAGUGGCGAAGGCGGUUCUCUGGGCCUUUCCUGACGCUGAGGAGCGAAAGCGUGGGGAGCGAACAGGCUUAGAUACCCUGGUAGUCCACGCUGUAAACGGUGGGUACUAGGUGUGGGGUCCAUUCCACGGGUUCCGUGCCGUAGCUAACGCUUUAAGUACCCCGCCUGGGGAGUACGGCCGCAAGGCUAAAACUCAAAGGAAUUGACGGGGCCCCGCACAAGCGGCGGAGCAUGCGGAUUAAUUCGAUGCAACGCGUAAAACCUUACCUGGGUUUGACAUGGAUCGGGAGUGCUCAGAGAUGGGUGUGCCUCUUUUGGGGUCGGUUCACAGGUGGUGCAUGCCUGUCGUCAGCUCGUGUCGUGAGAUGUUGGGUUAAGUCCCGCAACGAGCGCAACCCUUGUUCACUGUUGCCAGCACGUUAUGGUGGGGACUCAGUGGAGACCGCCGGGGUCAACUCGGAGGAAGGUGGGGAUGGCGUCAAGUCAUCAUGCCCCUUAUGUCCAGGGCUUCACGCAUGCUACAAUGGCUGGUACAGAGAGUGGCGAGCCUGUGAGGGUGAGCGAAUCUCGGAAAGCCGGUCUCAGUUCGGAUUGGGGUCUGCAACUCGACCUCAUGAAGUCGGAGUCGCUAGUAAUCGCAGAUCAGCAACGCUGCGGUGAAUACGUUCCCGGGGCU
rnacentral:rRNA from 1 species